rnacentral:rRNA from 1 species
GAGGCAGAGCGAAUCGCUAAAAGCCGUCCCAGUUCGGAUUGCAGGCUGCAACCCGCCUGCAUGAAGUUGGAAUCGCUAGUAAUCGCGGAUCAGCAUGCCGCGGUGAAUACGUUCCCGGGCCUUGUACACACCGCCCGUCACACCAUGAGAGUCGGGAACACCCGAAGUCCGUAGCCUGACCGCAAGGGGGGCGCGGCCGAAGGUGGGUUCGAUAAUUGGGGUGAAGUCGUAACAAGGUAUC